AAAACAGUGUGCAUUAGAGCCCGGAACGGCUAACCACUGGAUUAGCGGAUGUCCGCUGUGUGGGUCUGAUGUGCUUUUGGCAGACAAGGCUAGCUCUAUACAAGGCCAGAUGAUACGUCAUCUCCACACCCCUUACUGCUGCCUCAAACUUCAGAGUUCAGCAACUCUACAGAUACAACUGUGCUUGACCAUUAUUUCUGGACUUCUUAGAUACAUCACAGAAUUCCAAACUUUGGAAACUGAGGCUACUAUAGGCUCAAGUGAAAGAGAUAACGUCACCAGAAAGAUGGAACUAACAUUGAGGGUUCCUCAUCAAAGGGAACUGAAUACAGCUGAGCUGAAUGAAGCGCACCUACUCCAACUUCUAGAAUCCUAAAAUCCCUUAUUACAGACAAUCCUAUACCUAAGAGAGUAAAACUAUUUUAUGUUUAAGCAACUUAUUCAAUGAAGAGAAAAAAGGAUGCUAAUGAACUAAUUUUCUACUUUUUCUUCUUCCUUGCUAGGUCAGCUGCCCUUCUCACACAACUAACAAAUGGGGUGAAUAAGAAUACCUCUUAAACAAAAAUAUUUACAUGCACACCUGGAAUUCCAACACUGAAAGGCUGAGGUAGGAGGAUCGAAAGUUGGAACCCAGCCCCUGGGCAGUUCAGUGACUUAGCCAGGCCCUGCCUCAGAAUGGAAUAUCAAAAGUGGGGUGGAGCUGGGAUAUAGGGUAGGGUGAAGGCCUUGGGUUCAAUGCCCAGUACUCCA